rnacentral:rRNA from 1 species
GAUGAACGCUAGCUACAGGCUUAACACAUGCAAGUCGCGGGGCAGCAUGGGGGUUGCUUGCAAUCCCCGAUGGCGACCGGCGCACGGGUGAGUAACGCGUAUUCAACCUGCCCUUCACCACGGGAUAACCCGGCGAAAGUCGGACUAAUACCGUAUGUUGUCCAUUGACGGCAUCCGAUUUGGACGAAAGGCUUGGCGGUGAGGGAUGGGGAUGCGUCCGAUUAGCCAGACGGCGGGGUAACGGCCCACCGUGGCUACGAUCGGUAGGGGUUCUGAGAGGAAGGUCCCCCACACUGGAACUGAGACACGGUCCAGACUCCUACGGGAGGCAGCAGUGAGGAAUAUUGGUCAAUGGGCGUAAGCCUGAACCAGCCAAGUAGCGUGCAGGAUGACGGCCCUAUGGGUUGUAAACUGCUUUUAUGCGGGGAUAAAGUGGCCCACGUGCGGGCUUUUGCAGGUACCGCAUGAAUAAGGACCGGCUAAUUCCGUG